rnacentral:tRNA from 2 species
CGGGGCGUGGCGCAGUCCGGUAGCGCACCUGCUUUGGGAGCAGGGGGUCCCCAGUUCGAAUCUGGGCGCCCCGAC